rnacentral:rRNA from 1 species
UGGAUCCAGACUUUGAUUCUGGCUCAGGAUGAACGCUAGCUACAGGCUUAACACAUGCAAGUCGAGGGGAAACGACAUCGAAAGCUUGCUUUUGAUGGGCGUCGACCGGCGCACGGGUGAGUAACGCGUAUCCAACCUGCCCACCACUUGGGGAUAACCUUGCGAAAGUAAGACUAAUACCCAAUGACGUCUCUAGAAGACAUCUGAAGGAGAUUAAAGAUUUAUCGGUGAUGGAUGGGGAUGCGUCUGAUUAGCUUGUUGGCGGGGUAACGGCCACCAAGGCGACGAUCAGUAGGGGUUCUGAGAGGAAGGUCCCCCACAUUGGAACUGAGACACGGUCCAAACUCCUACGGGAGGCAGCAGUGAGGAAUAUUGGUCAAUGGACGAGAGUCUGAACCAGCCAAGUAGCGUGCAGGAUGACGGCCCUAUGGGUUGUAAACUGCUUUUAUAAGGGAAUA